GAAACAUAAAGGAGGGGGACAAUUUUUUCCUGUCUGACACAGACAUAGCAAGUCCAGUGUCCUCUAGCUUACAAAGAUCUCUUCUAUGAUCAACAGUUAAACAAGCAACAUGAACUUUAUCCAACUCGUAUGUGAAGCAGAUUUUUAUCUGCUAGAGCAGUCAUUUGCAGUCUCUUAGGGACUUUUGGAUAGACAUGAAGAACUAUGUGAUCUGGGAAGGGUUCCUCAAAGGCACUGCAAAAAUCUUUGAACCUCUAAACUGAAAACAAUAUUGAAUGCUGAUGCUCUAAGUUGUCCUCUUCCUCCAAGCAGCAGAUCUUGAGCCCACGUGGCAAAGGAAAAGAUCAGCAACACACACAAAGAACAUAAACAACAAAGGUUUUGCAAAACUGAAACUAACACAACCACUUCUGCUGGGAUGUUAAACAUCAAAACCAGAUUCAAAUCCACAAAGAUUUCUCUCCUGUUCAUCAUCAUCAUUUCCUCAAAAAUUCCCAGAUCUGCCCUUCCCAUUACAACCAAAACCCUCAGGGUGAUUCUUGAUAUUUAGACAAAGAUAAUAUUUUCCUUCCUAGCACUGAUGCAAACCUGCAGUCAAAACACCCAUUGCAUGAAAUGAUUUUACUUUUAACACUUCUCAUGGCCUACUCAAACCUGUCACCUCUCACAAACCAUCAACCCACCAUCUCCCUCCCACUCUCUCUGUUGCUCUUUUGCAGUUCUUCACCAAGCCUUUCACUAACUUGGAAUAUGACAUGCUGAGAGAAUGCCUGUCUCACUCUUUUUCAGCAAAGGUUGUUUAUUACCAUCA